AGCUCCGUGCUCCCGCGCCUGACGGCUCCCUCGGCCACCUCGCGCCUGGCCAAGGCUCGCCCCAGCCUGCCCCGCCUCUCUCUCUUGCCCCCUCCCGCUGGGGCCUCCCUGCACACAGCCGCCACGCCGGGCGCUCCGCUGCAGGCUUGCAGGCCUUCGCCCAGCCCAGCCCUGGCCCCACGCAGCGCUCACUGCCCGGCUCCAGGCACCCUCCGGCACACAGCGCCAGCACAGGCCAACCGCUGCCCUCUGGGGCGACGGCAGCCCCUCCUUGGCCUGACCAGCGCCUCCCGCGCUUGCUGGCAGACRAAAGACAGCUCUGGSCAGGCGGCACAAGCCUGCCAGCUGCUUGCCUCGCUUGGCUUUCUCCCCGCUCAGCGCUUUYGCCUUGCCUUCUUUCCCCCCAGGCCUCCAGGAAUCGUGCUCCGAGGCUGUCCGCUUUCCCCCGCUCUGCCAGCAGAGGAUCUCCGUCAGCGAGCGGCCCUGGGCAGAGCAGUGGAGAGCGGGCAAGAAAGGCUGCCCGUAAGGAGAAGAGAGCCCCCAGGGUGCUCGACAGCCCCCAAGGCCCUCCUGACUUCCCGCUGCCCCAGGCUCAUUGCUCUGCAGGCGCAGUCUCUGCUGCCAGAGGCAGGGCAGGCCCUGCUCGCUCUCGCUCUCUUGCUGCUCCCCACCGCUCUCUGCACGACUGCGAAGCACCUGGGCCACACCACGUCCAAGGAGAGGCUCAGAGACGGGCCUCCGUGCAGCCGCAAGAAGCAGCGGCUCGUGCCUCUCGUCAACGCCUGCAAGGAGCAGUGGAGAGACAGUGGAGGCAGGCUUUCCUCGGCGGCACCCGCUCGCAGGAGGAGAGCAAUGGCUGGAAGCGGCCAAAGGGCAGCUGCCGUGCUUAAACUGAGGGUGACCUUAGUUCCCAAGGAGCGUGGCGCAGCCAGGGAGCAGCUCCCUGAGAAGAGCCGUUGGCAUCUCCGUCCAAAGCUGGAGAGUCCCAAGCUGAGGGGACAGGGCCCGCAGRGA
rnacentral:lncRNA from 1 species